UCUCCAUUAGCAAGCCAUUGCUGCUUCGACCUCUGGGCCCAAUAUAAUUCUUGUUUAUUCAGCAAAUCAUCCAACUUACCCCUUAAUUCCCAAUCAUAUUUGACAUCACCUUUCUUGAAGGAGAAAAGCAAUCUCUUCACCAAGACUAAGGUAAUUAUGGACUCUUUCAGUUGAUGUCAGUGUAAUUUAGUGUAAAUUUAGUAACUUCAGCCUUUCAUUACAUCUUAGCAGAGUGAAAAUUGCUUAAUAAAUCCAAUUAAAUUUAUGUGUGUGUUUUAAAAGCGAGGACCGUUGAUCUCCAUUGAGUAUGAAAUAUCAUCUAAUUGGUUGGUAACUAUGUCAAGUUGCAGAAUAGAAUUAGCUUCAUUAAUUUGUUUGUCUAUUUUCUUCAUGGUUGAGUUAAUGAAUAUUUUUUUCUCACUCAUACUUCUGUGUUUUGUUUAAUUUUCUUAAUUGUUGUUGCUUAUUAUGAAAAGAUUAUUUUUAAUAGGCCCGUAAGGACGCCACCCUAGUGGUUGCAAAUCUGCAGAGACAGCAGGUUUAUUCACAUAUUUUUAGUGUUUUAUUUUAUUUUAUUUAUUUUACCUUAACUUUGUAACACACAUGCUGUUACAACUAUUCGGAAAACAUUGGCAGAAAUUGAUGAGCAAGCGGAGCUUCUACCUGAUGGAACCCUUCUCGUUGGUGGUCAAGCAAUUGCAGUCAUCUAUUUCAGAGCUGGGUAUGCACCAACUGAUUAUCCCUCAGAAUCAGUGAGUAGAUUCACUUUUGCAGAAUCAAGUUUUUUGUCA